UCAUUAGAAGAUCCAGUAAAAUUUACUCAACUAUCUGCUGAUUUCUCCUUAUUAUUCCUAUGAUUUUUACUUAUAAAAAGAGUUUGGGGUGUUCCCGGGUGGCACAGUUGGUUAAGGAUCCAGCGUGCAGGCUGUGGCGCAGGUUUCACCUACUGUGUGGGUUCAUCCCUGGCUGGGAACUUCCACGUGCUGCAGGUGCAGAUAAAAAAGUUCAUAAUUGUAUAAUAUGUAGUCAUAUGUAGGAAAAGGUUAUAGAAAAGAGGGUAGAUACCAUUGUGGUUAAAAAAAAAAAAGGAAAUAACACAUAGUGCGUAAUUUGUCUCUUUCGAAGUCAAGAAAAUAUCAUUUGUAAUGCCUGAGCAGUGUUACAUGAAAUAUUGUAUAGCUAUGAGUCAAAAACAUAAAUUGCUCUAUUUUUUUCCUAUGAAUUUCACUCUCUUAUCAUAACAAAAUAUAUGCUAGCAACAGUUGGGAUAUUAAGUUCCUAUUCUCUUAUUAUUUGAAAAGAAACAGAAAUUAUUUCCUUUAGUUCAGCAACAAUAAGAAAGUUUUCUGUGCCAUGAUAGCUUUUACUUAAGGUAACUUAUAAUUUCAGCCAGAAUACAUUAAAUUCCUACCCAUCAAGUAGCUUUAUUUUUAGCAUGUAUUUUAUGAAUAAUUCUUUAUGAGUUAUGCAAACCUAGGUGAUUCUAUUAAUCAGCUUGAACCUCAAUUAAAUGUUGAUAAAACUGGAAUUAUCCAAAGACAAUUUGAGUGAUCAUUUGAACUUAGUCCUUAUUAUUUGCCUGGUCAUCACAAAUUAGCAUGUGACUAUAUCUAGACACAUAGUAUGUAAGGUCACUAAUGUACGAGAAACAAAAAAUUAAAGAAAUAUGAUUUGGCUUUAAUAAUUGAUUAGGAUACAAAACCAAUUUUUAAAUAUUUUCAAAUGCAGUCUAAAAUAAUUAUCGUCAUUUGCCUUGUGAUAUUAAACAGACAUAUUAAACAGGCAUUUCUUUUUGUUUUUCUUCUUAUGUCCUUACCUGCGGCCUAUGGAAGUUCCCAGGCUAGGGGUCAAAUUGGAGGUGCAGCUGCCAGCCUACACCACAGCCAUGGCAGUACCAGAUCUAAGCUACAUCUACAACCUAUGCUUCAGCUUGCGGCAAUGCCAAUCCUUAAUCCACUGAGCCGGGCCAGGGAUCGAACCCGCACACUCACAGACACUAUGUCGGGUUCUUAACCCACGGAGUCACCACGGGAACUCGUAGACAAACAUUUCUCAAACAUUUAUUUUCUAAGAUGUUUGUGCAAUACUCAUUUUUCUUUUUGUUUCAAAUGAAAUACACGAAAGAGACAGUUCCACGCAAAUCAUAAUCAAUUCACACUGACAUGAUGGCAUCGGCAUUAGCCAUGCCAUAUGCCUGGCUAUGAAAAGGAGUGAUGAGUAUGUGCCCCCUGAUUUACUAUGAACCUAUUAAUAAUGCACAUGAAUGGCACAUCCCUGAAAUCUGUGAAUGUACGGAUCCAGUGUUUGACUGAGCACUUUCCUCACCCUCACCAGUUUCCUCACGCCUCUUUUAAUUCUCCACACUGUGGCUACCGCUGCCAGCCAGCAUCCUCAGGCAGUGCACUGAUCUGCACUGCUUCACUCUAGGAUUCUUUGUAUUUUCUAUCAUUUGAUUGAAAUGACAUCACACUCUUCUCGUUGGCCUCUUUCCCUCAGCGUAAUUAUUUCGAGACGUCCAGGUUGUGUGUAUCAACAGUUAUCUUUUUUAUUACUGAGUGGUAUUCUACCCUGCCAUUUGUUUUUCAAUUCAUCUGAUAACGGACAUUAAAUAUGAUACUAAUACCUUGUCUAGGAACAUGGUGAACAAGACUUUAUGUCAGUGCAAGAUGUAAUUUAUCUCGGGUUAAAUCCCUGGAAGUCAAAUAGUUGCAUCAAGUGUCAGGAGGAUGCUAAACUUAUUACAAAAAACCUUUUUAAAACUACAAAACUGUAAUCCACAGUGUUGUACAAUGUUACAUUCCCAUCAGCAUUAAAUGAAUGUUCCAGUUACUUACUCAAUAGCCUGACAAAAACGAUCAGGCUUUCGAAGUUCAAGACAUUCUAAUAAGUGGAUAUCUCAUUGCAGGUUUAAUGUAUUUGAAAAUCAUUAAAGAAUAAUGAUAUCAAGCAUCUUUUCAUAUGCGUGGUAUGAAAAGCAUAUGAUUUGGUUGAAUGUCUGUUCAGUCCUUUAUCCAUGUUUACUUGGAUUUCUUGUUUAAUUAUUGAGCGUGUGUGUUUUUAAAUAUACUGUGUGCUUAUAAAUUACAAAUAUUUUAUCCUAGUAAAUAACUGGUUUCUUAAUUCUGUCUUUCAAAAAGCGUUUUUUUUUAAUUUGGAUGAAAUCCAACAUAAAUAAAACUUACUAAAUAAGAGCAAAUCCUUUAAAACAUAGAAGGAUGGUUUGACUUAGGCAUUUUUCCCCCAUUUACAGUGGUACAACAGCCAUAUGCAUUCAGUAGAACAAUACUUUGAAGUUCAAAAGUUAGUCUUUUCCUGAGCUUGUGAUAUGCAGUAACAACUGUUACACUUACAGCCAUUCUGGCCCAUCCAGUCAUUCAGCAUUUCACUUUCAGUAUAAUAUUCAGUAAAUUACUUAAGAUAUUUAACACUUUAUUAUAGAAUGGUCUUUGAGUUUGCCCACCUACAGGCUCAUGUAAAUGUUCUGACGACAUCUAAGUUAGUCUAGGCUAAACCGUGGUGUUGACUCAGUGAGGUAUAUUACACAAAUUAUCAACACACAAUGGGUUUAUCAGAACUUAACCUCGUCUCAGGUUGAGUAAGAUCUGUAUAGUCAAACUUGUUUCAUAUCCUAGACUGCAGUUUAUUAAAAAUAGAUUCUUUGGUUCUCUAUGCUUGUUUCCUGAGCUGUUGUUGACAUACAAAAAAACCUGUACGUACUUACCAUAUUCACCUUGAUGAGUUUAGAGAUCAGUGUAUAUUUGUGAAACUAUCACCACAAACUAUGUCAUAAUGUAGUAUACAUCAGCUAGUGGUAUAUGCAUACAAGGGAAUAAUAUCCAGCCCUACCCAAAAGAAGGAAGUCUUGCCCCUUGCAAUGACGUGAACGGGCCUGGAGAAGGUGAUACUAAGUGAAAAAAGCCAAACACAGAAAGACAAACACUACAUGAUACUACUCAUAUGAGGAUAUAAAAUAGUCUGAAUCAUAGAAGCAGAAAAUGAACCAAUGGUUGUCAGAGGCUGGGGAAAGGGGAAAACAGGGAAGUAUUAGUCAAAAUAGAUUCUUAUUCAUCAAAGAAAAAUAAACUAGAAUAUAAUACAAUAAUAUGAUGUACUACCAAAUGGCUUAAAAUGGGAAGCAACAGUAAACAAAACUAAAAAAUAUAAAAUAAAGAAUUAUACAGAAUAUUACCAAGACUGUGGAAAAGCUGAAUAGUUCUGGCGUCGCUGGCAGAAAUAUUAAUUGGUAGCAACCCCUUUGAACUACAUUGGAAAAUUCUGGUAAUGUCUGCAAACUGUAACUUCUAUUCCAGCAACUCCUUUCCUACAUAUAAUUCCACACACACACACAAAUGCAUUUGUGUUUGUCCCAAAGGCACAUACUAGAUGGAAUGUUUGACAAUAUUUGGGAUGGCAACAAACUGGGGACUCCCUACAUGCUCUUCAUUAGUAUCAGGGCGCCAUCACACCAUGGAAUCCUAGAGACAAUGUGAUAAACACCAGGCAACUGCCCACACCAACGUGAACGAACGAAGACAGAUGCAGAGCAUGGAGUAUAUGAUCUGAUUGACAGAAUGCACUCAACUCCCCUCUGCUGGUGAAUGUCAGGAGGAGGGGUGGUGACGGAACGAGGGCGCAGAAGAAACAGCUGAGCAGUGGACACGCUCUUCAUCUCCUGGGGCUGGUUAUGCAGGUGUGUUCCCCUUGUGAGCACUCAAAACGAUGCACAAUGAUCACAAGUACGACUUUCUGUAUAUACUUUAAUAAAAAUAAAUACAAGAACGGAGUAUGGCGGAAAAAUGUUACCCUGGAUAAUGUCCAAGACCGUAAGCAUGGCCCUCCCUUUCACGUUGAACUGCUCGGAAGAAUCUCCGAGGCUGUAUUUUCCUUGCCCUUUUCUUGGGUCUUUCUACGACUGAGUUCAUUGUGCCUCCCAGAGGACAUCUGGCUUGCGGUUCCCUGACUUGCAGUUUUGUGGUUUUCAAGGCAUGUCGUCAAAUUGUCACCCAGUUGAGUUUGUUUCCAGGCAUUCAUUUUGAAUGAGAAAGAAGAUAAUACUUGUGUUCUCAGAAUUCACUAAGAUCUCUUUGGGGGGGGGGGGACAUUUUGAUUUUCUGUAUGUGGGGAACAGAUUGUAUCCAUCACUCCUUUCUUAAACUCACAGUUCUGUUCUCAACUUUUAAAAGGAAAAGAUUUUAAAAACUGGAUAAAAAGAAAAACACACCUUGAUUAAAGGGAUGAUAAAAAAGUAACUUGUGCAAGUAGAGAUUGCUUAUCUGGUUUCUAUCUCUGUAAGAGCUACUCUCUUAGCUACUCCGGCAUAUUUUAGAUGGAAGCAGGAUCUUGGUAACCAAAUUCGUGGCUCUGUGGGCAGUCUGUACAGGCCACAACGCAGAGCCAUACGUGCACUAUCUCAAGUAUACAUUUAAUAAACAUGUGGUUGAGGGCUUUCCGGAUGAGCCUGACUAAGCCAACUUCUCCAUUUGAUUUUGGAAACCAGCCUCCUCAAUCUAAAGGCAUAUUGGGCUUUGGAGGUUAACAUUCAUUUAUGAAUUUGUAAUAAAUGAUCUAUUUAUCCAAAAUCCAUUCUGGAAGCUAGCUAGCAUUUACUCAAAUUACAGUUUUUAUAUUCUUGGCAAGGCAUUAGGUUCAUGUGCUUUCACAAAGAAUUAUGAUUUGGUGUUUAGAAAUAGAAGAAUAACUUCUUGACUUUGAUGAAUAAUAGGAAAGAAGAAACAAAAUAAAACUAAUAUAUACAUAUGCCUAUAUAUAUGAAUACACAUAUAUAAUACAUAUUAUAUAUAUAUAUGUGUGUGAACAAGUUAAAUUACUCAUAAUAUCCAUUAUUUAUCACUUUACAAAUAAGCCUCAUUUGAGGAAGACAAGGAAAGUAAUAUGAGCUAUUUCCAGACCAUAUGGAACUGCAUAAUUUAUUGGAGAUGUUGCCAAAUUCAAGGAAAGUGACUGCGUUUCACAAGCUGGAGAGUCUCUUUCACAAGUGAGAUUACAGAAUGCGUAUACCCAUCUUUAUAUGGCUCUGAGGGUUUCACUGGAUCUGUAUACAAUGACAAUAAUAUGAUGAGGGCCUUUUUUUUCCCAAAGUUUUAAAUACAUAAUGUAGUUCUGCCUUUUUAUUUCUAUUUAAAGUAAAGCUUGUUAUGCCAGACUGUGAGAUGUUUCCAUUUGGUUGAAUCAAUAAGGACAUGACAAUUUUUAUUUUUGCAAGAUGAUAUUUUUUCACAAUUUCCAAACCUCUUUUUCUAAGAGGAGUUAAUUCUUGGAUGGGUUGAUAUUUAAUUCAGGCAUGAGCAAAAAAAAAAAAAAAAAAAAAAAAAA
ensembl:lncRNA